AUUGAACGCUGGCGGCAUGCUUUACACAUGCCAGUCGAACGGCAGCGCGGGCUUCGGCCUGGCGGCGAGUGGCGAACGGGUGAGUAAUGCAUCGGAACGUGCCCAGUAGUGGGGGAUAGCCCGGCGAAAGCCGGAUUAAUACGGCAUACGACCUGAGGGUGAAAGCGGGGGACCGAAAGGCCUCGCGCUAUGGGAGCGGCCGAUGUCGGAUUAGCUAGUUGGUGGGGUAAAGGCUUACCAAGGCGACAAUCCGUAGCUGGUCUGAGAGGACGACCAGCCACACUGUGACUGAGACACGGCCCAGACUCCUGCGGGAGGCAGCAGUGGGGAAUUUUGGACAAUGGGGGCGACCCUGAUCCAGCCAUGCCGCGUGCGGGAAGAAGGCCUUCGGGUUGUAAACCGCUUUUGUUCGGGAAGAAAUCCUCUGGGCUAAUACCCCGGGGGGAUGACGGUACCGUAAGAAUAAGCACCGGCUAACUACGUG
rnacentral:rRNA from 1 species